rnacentral:rRNA from 1 species
AUACGGAGGAUCCGAGCGUUAUCCGGAUUUAUUGGGUUUAAAGGGUGCGUAGGUGGGCCUGUAAGUCAGUGGUGAAAGUUUGCAGCUUAACUGUAAAAUUGCCGUUGAAACUGCCGGUCUUGAGUGCAAAUGAGGUAAGCGGAAUGUGUUGUGUAGCGGUGAAAUGCUUAGAUAUGACACAGAACACCGAUUGCGAAGGCAGCUUACUGGGAUGCCACUGACGCUCAUGCACGAAGGCGUGGGGAUCAAACAGGAUUAGAUACCCUGGUAGUCCACGCAGUAAACGAUGAUUACUAGCUGUUUGCGAUACAAUGUAAGCGGCUGAGCGAAAGCGUUAAGUAAUCCACCUGGGGAGUACGUUCGCAAGAAUGAAACUCAAAUGAAUUGACGGGG